UUUUACUACUGUAUAUACAUAUUGCACAUCAUCCAUCACAUAUACCUGAAGCAACACUUGUGGGUGUUACUAUUCAGUCCGUGUGAUUGUUUCCAGAUCUAUAUUUUAUGGAAAAAAAUUAGCACUAUCAAAAGUAUAUCAGACAAGUACAAAUGUAUGCCUUUCUUAGGUCUGUUAAACUUUUAAUAUCCAUAAUGUAUGAAAGUUUCACAAGU
rnacentral:lncRNA from 1 species